rnacentral:rRNA from 1 species
UACGUAGGGUGCAAGCGUUUAAUCGGAAUUACUGGGCGUAAAGCGUGCGCAGGCGGUUAUGUAAGACAGAUGUGAAAUCCCCGGGCUCAACCUGGGAACUGCAUUUGUGACUGCAUAGCUAGAGUACGGUAGAGGGGGAUGGAAUUCCGCGUGUAGCAGUGAAAUGCGUAGAUAUGCGGAGGAACACCGAUGGCGAAGGCAAUCCCCUGGACCUGUACUGACGCUCAUGCACGAAAGCGUGGGGAGCAAACAGG